CACGUAGGGAGCAAGCGUUGUCCGGAUUUAUUGGGCGUAAAGAGCUCGUAGGUGGUUCGGUAAGUCAGGUGUGAAACCUCCAGGCUUAACCUGGAGACGCCACUUGAUACUGCUGUGACUGGAGUCCGGUAGGGGAGCGUGGAAUUCCUGGUGUAGCGGUGAAAUGCGCAGAUAUCAGGAGGAACACCAGCGGCGAAGGCGGCGCUCUGGGCCGGUACUGACACUGAGGAGCGAAAGCGUGGGUAGCAAACAGG
rnacentral:rRNA from 1 species